UUUUUGUCUCCUAGAGAGAGCAGAGAGGAGUCCGGCGCGUCCUUUGGGAGUGAUGGGUCAAAAAAUUACAAAACCUGUUUCUCUCUUUUCUGGAGGAGAAUACGUAUGAAAAGACAUCAGGAACGGUGCGAAAAGAGCACCAAUCGUGUCAGAGACAGAGCCCUUCUCAGGCCUCUGCAGUCUCAUAAUGACACAUACGAUGGACUCGAAGUAACCGGCAGUAAAGAAUCACUCUAACUAGAGACAAAUAUUCAGCGAAUUUGGGGAGAAUGGGAAGAGUCCAGCGACUCUGGUGUGUCUCUGAAGAGUGAUCAGUCUGCAGGUCGAACAAUUAAUUUCAAAGAAACCCCCCCCGUCAGGACGUGAUGAUCCAGGAUCCAGCAUCGAUGAGGCACCCGCCAGCAGCUAUUUCUGUUUCUCUCUCUGUGGCAUCACUUCUGCUGCUGCUUCCUGCAUCACUCAGUAUUCAGAAAUCAGCGUAAACACCAAC